rnacentral:rRNA from 1 species
CAGUCGCCGCGGGAAUACGUAGGUGGCAAGCGUUGUCCGGAAUUAUUGGGCGUAAAGGGCUCGCAGGCGGUUUCUUAAGUCUGAUGUGAAAGCCCCCGGCUCAACCGGGGAGGGUCAUUGGAAACUGGGAAACUUGAGUGCAGAAGAGGAGAGUGGAAUUCCACGUGUAGCGGUGAAAUGCGUAGAGAUGUGGAGGAACAUCAGUGGCGAAGGCGACUCUCUGGUCUGUAACUGACGCUGAGGAGCGAAAGCGUGGGGAGCGAACAGGAUUAGAUACCCGCGUAGUCCCUGUCUCUUAUAC